rnacentral:rRNA from 1 species
UAGUGGCGAACGGGUGAGUAACACGUGAGUAACCUGCCCCUGACUCUGGGAUAAGCGUUGGAAACGACGUCUAAUACUGGAUAUGAUCACUGGCCGCAUGGUCUGGUGGUGGAAAGAUUUCUUGGUUGGGGAUGGACUCGCGGCCUAUCAGCUUGUUGGUGAGGUAAUGGCUCACCAAGGCGACGACGGGUAGCCGGCCUGAGAGGGUGACCGGCCACACUGGGACUGAGACACGGCCCAGACUCCUACGGGAGGCAGCAGUGGGGAAUAUUGCACAAUGGGCGAAAGCCUGAUGCAGCAACGCCGCGUGAGGGAUGACGGCCUUCGGGUUGUAAACCUCUUUUAGUAGGGAAGAAGCGAAAGUGACGGUACCUGCAGAAAAAGCACCGGCUAACUACGUGCCAGCAGCCGCGGUAAUACGUAGGGUGCAAGCGUUGUCCGGAAUUAUUGGGCGUAAAGAGCUCGUAGGCGGUUUGUCGCGUCUGCUGUGAAAUCCCGAGGCUCAACCUCGGGCUUGCAGUGGGUACGGGCAGACUAGAG